AUGCGGACACACGACGUAGUCUUUGCCACGCGGCCGUGGAGCCCCACCAUGAAGAUCAUGGUCUCUGAAGGGGAAGGGCUGGUAUUCGCACGCUACGGCACCCUGUGGCGGCAGCUCCGCAAGAUCUGCGUCCAGGAGCUUCUCAGCGCGCGCCGCGUGCAGUCGUUCCGCCACAUCAGGGAGGACGAGGUCGGCCGCCUCGUGGCUGCUGUUGCGGCGGUGCCGCCCGGGGAGCCCGUGAACGUGAGCGAGCGGAUCUCCGUGGUCAUCGCCGAUUCGGCGGUGCGCGCCAUGAUCGUGGACAGGUUCAAGAGGCGGGAGGAGUUCUUGCAGUCACUCGAGGAAGCGCUGAAGCUCGCCACCGGGUUCAACCUUGGCGACUUGUUCCCGUCAUCAUGGCUCGCGAAUUUCAUCAGCGGCACGGCACGGCUGGCGGAGGAAAACCACCGCAAGAACUUCGAGCUCAUGGAGUACGCGAUCAAGCAACACGAAGAGCAGAGGAGCGCCGCCUCAGCCAACGGCGGCGUGGAGGAAGGAGUAGAGGACCUAGUCGACACGCUCUUGAGGAUUCGAAAGGAGGGUGGCCUGAACGUGCCUCUCACCAUGGGAACAGUCAAAGCAGUUAUACUUGAUGUAUUUGGUGCUGGGAGCUAG
rnacentral:rRNA from 1 species